GCCCAAGUGGCGGAACGGUAGACGCAGGGGAUUCAAAAUCCCCCGCCGCAAGGCGUGUGGGUUCGAAUCCCACCUUGGGCACCA
rnacentral:tRNA from 1 species